GUCGCUGGUUUCUCGAUGGACGAAGUAAUGACAGCCGCAGGUGCAUCGGCAAGGUUUCGAUCGGCGUCAUCUCCGACGUCCAUUGUCCCUUCCAACGUCCCUCUCCUCUCAGCUGUCCUUGCCUUUGCUCUCGCUCGGUUCCUCAAUCUCUUCACCACCUGUCUUUUUGUUCGUGUGCAUUUUCUCGCUUUCAAUAUAUUCUCUUAGACAUGCUGGCUCAAGGAGAAGAGAUAGGAUACUAGAAGGAUGUCAGACAUUAGAUGGGAUACUAAUGUUCUUAUUCCUCUGCCCUGGUCCAUGAUAACAUUAGAAGUUCUGCAGUUCUACGAACUUCUAAGUAACCUCUUAUGACUACAGUUAAUCAAAUUGUGUGUGAGCUACCUCCUGAGCAUCCUGUCUUCAAUGUCUGACCCCUAUGAGAUUCACUUGGUCACACACCCCUUCAGCUAUGAGGCUUUCAACAAUAUACAUUGUGCUAUGAAGCGUGGGAUCUAUCUGCUAGUUUGAAAUGAUGUUCAUUAAAAAGAGGGGUGGGCUUUAUAUUAUUGAUGUUGUACGGUGAACAGAUGAUAUAAUUGUUUCAAACAUAAGAACAAAUGGUUAUGGUCAUCUGGUAUAACUUGCUACAUAGUGAAUCUUGUUUGAUCUAAAAGGAGUUUGAUGUUGUUUCUUUGUUUACCUACCUUGUUCCUUUGAUUUCGGGUUUAGGUUCUUUCCAGGUCCAUAUUAGGAUGUAUUGUAGCAUUCCUCAUGAGAACUUCAAGUUAGGAUUCGACAUGGAAAAUUGCAGUUACUGAUAAUUAUGUCGCGAGUGCUCAUACUUAUGCCAAGAAGAAUCGGACAGGACGAUUUCGUGACGUUCAACCAGUGUGGAAGUUCUAGUGUUGUAAUUGCUUGGGAUUUUUGCCUUGUAGCUUAAGCAAUUGUAAAUUAUACUACCAUACUUAUUAGUUUCCCCUAUCCUCUCAAGUCUAAUGCCAUGACAAUGACAUUGGAAAUUUCUUGCCUACUUAAAUUUUUGUAGCAUAUAAUGCAAAUUGAAAAGACAGAAAAAAGGUUAA
rnacentral:sRNA from 1 species